AUUGAACGCUGGCGGCAGGCCUAACACAUGCAAGUCGAACGCGUGGCGGACGGGUGAGUAAUGUCUGGGAAACUGCCUGAUGGAGGGGGAUCACUACUGGAAACGGUAGCUAAUACCGCAUAGCCUCGGGAGUGCCCAGAUGGGAUUAGCUAGUAGGUGGGGUAAAGGCUCACCUAGGCGACGAUCCCUAGCUGGUCUGAGAGGAUGAACAGCCACACUGGGACUGAGACACGGUCCAGACUCCUACGGGAGGCAGCAGUGGGGAAUAUUGCACAAUGGGCGCAAGCCUGAUGCAGCCAUGCCGCGUGUAUGAAGAAGGCCUUCGGGUUGUAAAGUACUUUCAGCGGGGAGGCGUUACCCGCAGAAGAAGCACCGGCUAACUCCGUGCCAGCCGCCGCGGUAAUAC
rnacentral:rRNA from 1 species